GGCGUAGGUGGCCUGUCAAGUCGGAUGUGAAAUCUCCCGGCUCAACUGGGAGGGUGCAUUCGAAACUGAUGGGCUAGAGUGCAGCAGAGGGAGGUGGAAUUCCCGGUGUAGUGGUGAAAUGCGUAGAUAUCGGGAAGAACACUAGUGGCGAAGGCGGCCUCCUGGGAUGUAACUGACACUGAGGCCCGAAGGCGUGGGGAGCAAACAGGAUUAGAUACCCUGGUAGUCCACGCAGUAAACGAUGGAUACUAGGUAUGGGGAGUAUCGACCCUCUCCGUGCCGAAGCUAACGCUUUAAGUAUCCCGCCUGGGGAGUACGGUCGCAAGACUAAAA
rnacentral:rRNA from 1 species